rnacentral:rRNA from 1 species
GGGGAAGGGUAGCUUGCUACCUGACCUAGCGGCGCACGGGUGAGUAAUGCUUAGGAAUCCGCCUAUGAGGGGGGGACAACAUUCCGAAAGGAAUGCUAAUACCGCAUACGCCCUACGGGGGAAAGCAGGGGAUCUUCGGACCUUGCGCUAACAGACGAGCCUUAAAACAGACCAGCCAGGUGGGCGGGUAAAGGCCUACCAAGGCGACAAAAAGCCCCGGGUCUGAGAGGAUGACCCCCCCCACUGGGACUGAGACACGGCCCAAACUCCCACCGGGAGGCAGCAGUGCGGAAAAUACGGCCAAUGGGCGAAAAGCCCAAACCAAACCCUGCCGCGGGUCGGAAAAAGGGCCCCCUCGGGGCGCAAGCCACUCUAAAGCCGAGGACGGAGGCCACCACGGAGAAUAAAAACCCUCGGGAACAGGGGAACGCCACCCUCCCCAGCAAAAAAAACCCAGGGAACCUCCGGGCCAGACGCCCGCCGGAACAACAGAAGGGGCC